AGAGUUUGAUCCUGGCUCAGAUUGAACGCUGGCGGCAUGCCUUACACAUGCAAGUCGAGCGGCAGCGCGGGGGCAACCCUGGCGGCGAGCGGCGCACGGGUGAGUAAUGCAUCGGAACGUGUCCUCUUGUGGGGGAUAACCAGUCGAAAGACUGGCUAAUACCGCAUGAGCACGAGAGUGGAAAGCGGGGGACCGUAAGGCCUCGCGCGAGAGGAGCGGCCGAUGCCGGAUUAGCUAGUUGGUGGGGUAAAAGCCUACCAAGGCGACGAUCCGUAGCUGGUUUGAGAGAACGACCAGCCACACUGGGACUGAGACACGGCCCAGACUCCUACGGGAGGCAGCAGUGGGGAAUUUUGGACAAUGGGGGCAACCCUGAUCCAGCCAUGCCGCGUGUGUGAAGAAGGCCUUCGGGUUGUAAAGCACUUUCGGCCGGAACGAAAUCGCGCGGAUGAACAUUCCGCGUGGAUGACGGUACCGGAAGAAGAAGCACCGGCUAACUACGUGCCAGCAGCCGCGGUAAUACGUAGGGUGCGAGCGUUAAUCGGAAUUACUGGGCGUAAAGUGUGCGCAGGCGGCCGAGCAAGUCGAGUGUGAAAGCCCCGAGCUUAACUUGGGAACUGCGCUCGAAACUACUUGGCUAGAGUGUGGCAGAGGGAGGUGGAAUUCCACGUGUAGCGGUGAAAUGCGUAUAGAUGUGGAGGAACACCGAUGGCGAAGGCAGCCUCCUGGGCCAACACUGACGCUCAUGCACGAAAGCGUGG
rnacentral:rRNA from 1 species